ensembl:lncRNA
CCACCCUUUCCCAUGCCUCAUUUAAGGGUUGGCAGUAGACAUGAGGGUAUUUUGCUGAAGAUUUCUGCCUACCUGAGGACCUUCUGGGCUAUCUGAAGCAGUGGAAUUGUUUCACAAACCUGGUGAAAGUUAUGGAUUGGAAAGAGAUCUACCCUGAUGCACGCACGGGAACAGGAAGAACACCAUAUGCAAGUCUGUCACGACCUAUCAAGCCAGUAUGAGGCUGAAGGUGACAGUUUCUUGGAUCACACAAUUACUGGAGAUGAGAUGUGGUAUCCCUGCUAUGAACCAGAGGCAAAACGGCAGUCUACGGAGUGGUUACAUGUGGAUUCCUCAUCGAAAACAAAGCUGAAGAAACAGCUCUCAGCAGGUAAAGUGUGAUACACAUCGUCUUUUGGGAUAGGAAAAUAGUGAUCCUUCUGGAACCUAGACAAACCAUCAACUGUGACUGAUGCAUUGUGACACUAACUAAGCUGUAGGCUCCAACUUCCAGAGUCAGGCCAGAGGAGAAGAUAGCCUUUCUCUUGCAACACAAUAACGCCAGGCCCCAUUGCAGCGUGAAGACUGCGGAGCACAUCGCCAACGUUGGCCAGACUGUCCUACCACACCCACUUACAGUUUGGAUUUGGUGCUUUCUGACUUCCAUCUGCUUAGGCUGUGUGGGCAACAUUUUCCUGGCAAGGAUGCCAUCAUAGCAGCUGUGAAGCAAUGGGUAAUUUCUGCUGGUGCAGAUUUUUACAGGCGCUGCAUGCAGGCUCUUCACUGACAAAAACGCAGAGCUAAUGGUAGUGACUAUGUUGAGAAAUAGUGUUUUGUAGCAGAAAAUUUUCUCUAUCAAUCAAGUAGUGUAGUUGUACUCUUUGUUGUAGUUUCCACGGAAAUAAGCAGGAGGUAUUACUUCUGGAACAACUUGUGUAGCUCACAAAAAAGCUCCUGACUUCCCUAUGCUCUAAUGAACUCUUAAGUACCUGGAUCAAUUUUGCUGUACUAAUAACUUCUGAAAUAGCUUGGUUUUAUUUUGCUGCGUUAGAAGCACCUUGCUCUGAUGUGGAACUCAGAUGCUUUAAUUUCCUGGAGCGCCUUAAAGAGAUACGGGCAAUUUGGACUGUAAAGAUGUGUGUAUGAUUAAGUGUGUCACCAGCAUUCUAGGAGUGGUUGAAUAUUUGCUGCUCUCUUAGGUCCUGUGAGAAAUGAAAUUAUACAAACCUUAACUAUGCUACCUUCUGCAUAAAUAAAUCAAAUUAGAUAAUAAGGUGUUGCGAUGUCCAAAAACCAAUCAAUAGCAUUUAUCACUUACUCUGUGCUCUAGAAUUCUUUUCCAGAGCUUUUGGUACAUCAACUACUUCGCAAUUUGCUUCUACAAUGUACUGAUGAAUCCCAGCUGGUACUCCCAACCAUUUCUUCCUUUAUUCCUUUCUUUACUGUAGUGACAAUAAUUAUAGUGAUUGGGUGACAAUUUUGUCUCCUGGUCAAAAUAAAAGCAUCCUUUUUUUUUCUCUUAAGAUUAAUUAAGGUUAAGAUGUGCACAUUUUUUUUGAGAGAUUGGCUGCUUGUGUUGGGUUUGUUUGUUUAUGAAGUUUUGGAUUUUUUCAAUUAAGAACUAUGUCCAUUGCAAAUGGGUAUGGCUAUGGCUUGUAGAGCGAUCAUGAAAGCUACUGGUUCAAAGAAAGGGAGAAAGCAAGAGCUUUGUGAUGCACCAAACUGCGUGGGUUAGCAUUGUGCAUAGUCUUCCCCUGGAGCACAAUGCUGAGAUGCUGGAAGCAGGUCAGGAAUGAGGAUUACAAAGCCUAGGUGUC